rnacentral:rRNA from 1 species
GACAGAGGUGCCGAGCGUUAGGCGGAAUCACUGGGCUUAAAGCGUGUGUAGGCGGCUCGUUAAGUACCUUGUGAAAUCCCACGGCUCAACCGUGGAACUGCUUGGUAUACUGGCGGUCUUGAGCCAGCUAGGGGCUACCGGAACAAAUGGUGGGGCGGUGAAAUGCGUAGAUAUCAGGAGGAACACCAAUGGCGAAGGCAGCACUCUGGGACGUGACUGACGCUGAGACGCGAAAGCGUGGGGAGCAAACAGG